GAUGAACGCUGGCGGGGUGCCGAAGACAGGGAAGUCGAGCGAACAGACGAGGAGCUUGCUCCUCUGACGUUAGCGGCGGACGGGUGAGUAACACGUGGAUAACCUACCUAUAAUACUGGGAUAACUUCGGGAAACCGGAGCGAAUACCGGAUAAUAUAUUGAACCGCAUGGUUCAAUAGUGAAAGACGGUUUUGCUGUCACUUAUAGAUGGAUCCGCGCCGCAUUAGCUAGUUGGUAAGGUAACGGCUUACCAAGGCAACGAUGCGUAGCCGACCUGAGAGGGUGCUCGGCCACACUGGAACUGGGACACGCUCCAGACUCCUACGGGAGGCAGCAGUAGGGAAUCCUCCGCACUGGGCGAAAGCCUGGCGGAGCAACGCCGCGUGAGUGAUGAAGGUCUUCGGAUCGUAAAACUCUGUUACUCGGGAAGAACAAAUGUGUAAGUAACUAUGAGCGUCUUGAAGGUCCCUAAUCAGAACGCCUCGGCUACCUCCGUGC
rnacentral:rRNA from 1 species